UCACCAAUCUCCUACGGGUGAGUAAUGUCUGGGAAACUGCCUGAUGAAGGGGGAUAACUACUGGAAACGGUAGCUAAUACCGCAUAACGUCGCAAGACCAAAGAGGGGGACCUUCGGGCCUCUUGCCAUCAGAUGUGCCCAGAUGGGAUUAGCUAGUAGGUGGGGUAACGGCUCACCUAGGCGACGAUCCCUAGCUGGUCUGACAGGAUGACCAGCCACACUGGAACUGAGACACGGUCCAGACUCCUACGGGAGGCAGCAGUGGGGAAUAUUGCACAAUGGGCGCAAGCCUGAUGCAGCCAUGCCGCGUGUAUGAAGAAGGCCUUCGGGUUGUUAAGUACUUUCAGCGGGGAGGAAGGUGUUGUGGUUAAUAACCACAGCAAUUGACGUUACCCGCAGAAGAAGCACCGGCUAACUCCGUGCCAGCAGCCGCGGUAAUACGGAGGGUGCAACCGUUAAUCGGAAUUACUGGGCGUAAAGCGCACGCAGGCGGUCUGUCAAGUCGGAUGUGAAAUCCCCGGGCUCAACCUGGGAACUGCAUUCGAUACUGGCAAGCUUGAGUCUCGUAGAGGGGGGUAGAAUUCCAGGUGUAGCGGUGAAAUGCGUAGAGAUCUGGAGGAAUACCGGUGGCGAAGGCGGCCCCCUGGACGAAGACUGACGCUCAGGUGCGAAAGCGUGGGGAGCAAACAGGAUUAGAUACCCUGGUAGUCCACGCCGUAAACGAUGUCGAAUUGGAGGUUGUGGCCUUGAGGCGUGGCUUCCGGAGCUAACGCGUUAAAUCGACCGCCUGGGGAGUACGGCCGCAAGGUUAAAACUCAAAUGAAUUGACGGGGGCCCGCACAAGCGGUGGAGCAUGUGGUUUAAUUCGAUGCAACGCG
rnacentral:rRNA from 2 species